UAGGGAAUCUUCCACAAUGGACGCAAGUCUGAUGGAGCAACGCCGCGUGAGUGAAGAAGGUUUUCGGAUCGUAAAGCUCUGUUGUUGGUGAAGAAGGAUAGAGGUAGUAACUGGCCUUUAUUUGACGGUAAUCAACCAGAAAGUCACGGCUAACUACG
rnacentral:rRNA from 1 species